rnacentral:rRNA from 1 species
GACGAACGCUGGCGGCGGGCUUAACACAUGCAAGUCGAACGGAAAGGCCCUGCUUGCGUGCGGUUCUCGAGGGGCGAUCGGGUGAGGAACACGUGAGUAACCUGCCCUUGACUUUGGGAUGACUUCAGGAAAGUGGGGCUAAUACCGUACCGGAGCCGCCGCUGCGGGGAGGGGGGUGGAACGUCUCUGCGGUUGGGGAUGGACGCGCGGCUGAUGGGCUUGUUGGUGGGGGAGUGGCUUACCGAGGCUUUGGCGGGUAGCCGGCCUGGGAGGGUGACCGGCCACCUUGGGCCUGAGAUACGGCCCAGACUCCUACGGGAGGCAGCAGUGGGGAAUAUUGUCCAAUGGGCGGACGCCUGAUGCAACAACGCCGCGUGCGGGAUGACGGCCUUCGGGUUGUAAACCGCUUCCGCCUGUGACGCAGCGUGAGUGACGGUAAUGGGUAAAGAAGCACCGGCUAACUACGUG